UACGUAGGGACCAAGCGUUGUUCGGAUUUACUGGGCGUAAAGGGCGCGUAGGCGGCAAUUCAAGUCAUCUGUGAAAUCUCCGGGCUUAACCCGGAACGGUCAGAUGAUACUGCUUUGCUAGAGUGCGGAAGGGGCAAUCGGAAUUCUUGGUGUAGCGGUGAAAUGCGUAGAUAUCAAGAGGAACACCUGAGGUGAAGACGGGUUGCUGGGCCGACACUGACGCUGACAGCGCGAAAGCCAGGGGAGCAAACGGGG
rnacentral:rRNA from 1 species